UACGUAGGGGGCAAGCGUUGUCCGGAUUUAUUGGGCGUAAAGAGCGUGUAGGCGGCUAAGUAAGUCUGCUGUGAAAACUCGAGGCUCAACCUCGAGCUGUCGGCGGAAACUAUUUGGCUAGAGUCCGGAAGAGGAGAAUGGAAUUCCCGGUGUAGCGGUGAAAUGCGCAGAUAUCGGGAAGAACACCCGUGGCGAAGGCGGUUCUCUGGGACGGUACUGACGCUGAGACGCGAAAGCGUGGGGAGCGAACAGG
rnacentral:rRNA from 1 species